UCGGACGGCCACAGCGGUGAGGUUCCACCCGUACCCAUCCCGAACACGGAAGUUAAGCUCACCAGCGUACGAGCAAGUACUGGAGUGCGAGAGCCUCUGGGAACACCCGUUCGCCGUCCACC
rnacentral:rRNA from 1 species